UAACGAUCCAACGGUCGGAUUAAAAAUUAUAACUCACGCAAUAUAUCUUAAGAACAUUGAUUUUUUAGAGUAUGAGAUCUUUAGACCAGUUUCAUUCAAACAGUGACCACGAAAUAUCCACAAAGAAUUUUUGGAUGAUUCAAAUUUCUAAGUUUAUCUUACUUUAAGGGCUUUCUUUUGAUAUAUAGCUCAUCUCCUAACUCAUUAUACACCAAGAGUUAUGGAUUUUACAAAAUCAAGUAAUAAACUAAUUUUUUAAAAAUUUCCAAAUUUCGUUCUUCAUUUCGACA
rnacentral:lncRNA from 1 species